rnacentral:misc_RNA from 1 species
AAAGUCGUAACAAGGUCUCCGUAGGUGAACCUGCGGAGGGAUCAUUAACAAAUCAAACACACAUACCUGUGUCAAUGUCUGUGCCGAGUGGGGGGUGGCGCAUGGUGCGCGUGGUAUCAUCGCAUCGCUACUGGGGAAAUGGGGAAGGACCUGGUAGUGUGUGUGUGUGUGUGGUACAACGUGUGACCGGGCGCUGCCUGAUGGGGAGUGGUGCCUAUAUGUAUGUAUGGGUACGCCUGCCGGCCAACAACUACAAACCAUGUCAGAGUUAUACACAUAUAAUGUAAUAACAACUUUUAACAAUGGAUCUCUUGGCUCUU